GUUUGCGUGCAGAAGUGUCACACACUAAGCACAGCUCAUAGAAGUGUUCAGUCGACAUGUUUUUAAAACGGAUUACAAACUGCCUUUUAUUUUUUACUUUAACGUUUCUCCCAAAUACAGAUGCAGAGAAUGAUUUCAGAGCAAUUGAAGGAGAAACUGUCUAUCUUCCCUGCCACUCACCCCCUAUUGACAGUGUACAAGUUUCUGUAGAGUGGACAAAACAUAGUACAAACAGCACAACUAUUUGUCAAUGGUAUAUUAAUAACAUUACUGGAUCUCACACUGGAGACUGCUUUCCUCGUUUCAAAUUCAACAACAAGUCUUUUACACUAAGUAUAGAAAAAGUUCAGCUCAUUGACUCUGGUCAUUACAGCUGUACAACAUCAAGAUUAAUACCACCACCAACAUUACACAAUACCACAAAUGUGACACUCCAAGUUGAAGUUCGUCCACAUCUGUCUCUGCAGAAACUGAACAGCAGUAAUGUCACCUGUUUCCAUCUGCUCUGCUCUAUGGAGGGUCUGACGACUGAGCUGGUGAACUUCACCUGGAGCCGAGAGGGUCAAAGUUCACUUCAUCCAUUCAAAUCUUAUGCCACGAACAGUGAGCUGCGUCUGUGUAAACCUGACUGGAGUGACGGAGACACAAUCACCUGUUACGCCAGCUACUCAAGCGCACACGUUGUACACAAAAGUAUACAACUCACUUCACAGAGAGAUGAACUCGAACAGAACAUUCCAGUUGUUUGCAUGGCCAUUUUCAGCUUCUUCAUCAUCUGCAUUGUUUUCAUCUGGAUAAUGUUCUGCGUGUCCAAACAUAAGACCUCCAGCUGAUGUACAUGUGAUUUGGUUAGAAUCUCUAGUCCACUUUUAAUUUGAUUUGAAUGUGAACUAAAUUUAGUGUCUGUAAAAGACUAGUGUCGUCCUGCAGAGUCUGACCUGCUGCCCUGGACCAUCAGCAUGAGAGCUUUAGAAGAGUAAACACGCUGUAAUAUUUUUUAAAAAUUAUACUUUUUUAUGAUGCUUUGGAUUACGCUUUCUUAGACAUGGCUGUUUUUGUUGUUUGUUUGUUUCCUAG
rnacentral:lncRNA from 1 species